UGACACUUGAUAUUCUGGAUUUCCCCUGAUUGUCAAUGCGAUUCCAAUGUGGGUCAAAAGAGUCAGAGUUUUUCAGGGGCCAAGGGCACUGUCUGCCGGUAUCAAAUAUUGUGAUAACUAACCCAAGACAGAUCAGAGCCUGUCGUUUCCAAAUGAAUCAUAGUGCUCAGAACAAGCAAGGAGGUGUGCAGAGCCAAGAGCCACUUCCAGCCACUGGGCUUCCUCUCAGUGAAUGGAAACACCAACCGGAUGCUUCAUAUCUAUACAUCCUGUCAACUAUCUGAUUUAUUGUUCCAUCCAUGGUUGCCAUGUUUGCCAUUUUCCUGCAAAUUGGGCUACUUUGAAAACAAUGUCAGGGGUGAAAAUGUAUUGGUCGCGGGCGGAGGGUUUUGGGAUACUUCUAAAUCGCAUUGCGGCCGCCAUGGCAUAUCUCUUAAACAAAUAUAUUUCACUGUGACCUGCUGCCGCAGACUAUCAGGCAGUGAGGAUUGAGUGAGUUGAGUGAGUGUGAGUUGAGUGAGUUGAGAGGACCAGAGGACCGGAGGGGUGUGUGUACGUGGAGAGCGCUGGUUGAGAGAGUCCGGCAGCAGAGACACGGAGACAGAGCAGCACACAAGCACGUCGUGACAACUUUUUACCAAGUCUAUUUAGACUGGUCAUUAUGGAGGCACCCUUUUUCCAUAAAUCGUUAAACACUCUAGAAGUGAUAUAACGGCGACAAAGCAUUGGAAAAUGACUUUAGGCACACGAGAGCUCUUUAGAUACAUUUGCUCAGAGGUGGUUUAAAAUACACUGCAUUCUAAUGUCUCCGCAACGCGGAGUGCCUGGACACAGCCCGUAGCUGUGGUAUAUUGGCCAUAUAUCACAAAACCCAGAGGCUAUUAUAAACGGGUUAUUAUAAACUGGUUACCAACGUAAUUAGAGCAGUAAAAAUAAAUGUUUUGUCAUACCCAUGGUAUACAGUCUGAUAUACCACGGCUGUCAGCCAAUCAGCAUUCAGGGCUCAAACCACCCAGGUUAUAUUUACAAUUAUUAACUGGGUGGUUUGAGCCC
ensembl:lncRNA